rnacentral:rRNA from 1 species
GACGAACGCUGGCGGCGUGCUUAACACAUGCAAGUCGAACGGAAAGGCCCUGCGUUCGUGGGGUGCUCGAGUGGCGAACGGGUGAGUAACACGUGAGUAACCUGCUCUAGACUUUGGGAUAACUUCAGGAAACUGGGGCUAAUACCGGAUAGGAGCUCCUGCUGCAUGGUGGGGGUUGGAAAGUUUCGGCGGUUGGGGAUGGACUCGCGGCUUAUCAGCUUGUUGGUGGGGUAGUGGCUUACCAAGGCAUUGACGGGUAGCCGGCCUGAGAGGGUGAACGGCGUCCUUGGGACUGCGAGACGGAGCAGUGUCGUACAGGAGGCAGCAGUGGGGAAUAUUGCACAGUGGGCGGACGCCUGAUGCGGAAGCGCCGCGUGCGGGAUGACGGCCUUCGGGGUGUGAACCGCUUUCGCCUGUGACGCAGCGUGAGUGACGGUAAUGGGUAAAGAAGCACCGGCUAACUACGUG